GCUCUCAGCGUCAGGUGCAAACUUGUCAGCUACUACAAUAUCAGUGGGAAGCAGAAGAGAAACACCCUUUGCCUUCGCCUUUUCAAUCAGUGAGGUUGCAAGCUCAAGUUUGUCUUCCUCCACAAGAGACUUUCCAACAGCAUAUCCCUGUGCCUUGUAGAAUGUGUAGAUCAUACCACCACCAAGGAUGAGGAUAUCAACCUUUGCCAGCAGAGACUCAAUGACCCCAAUCUUGGUCGAGACCUUGGAUCCACCAACAAUGGCAGCAAAUGGCUUCUUUGGGUUGGCAACAGCUCCAACAAGAUAAUCAAGUUCCUGGGAUAAUUAAAUUAUUAGUCAAACAAACUUUUGCUCUGAAAAACUUGUUCCAUUCUUAAAAGUACAUAAGGAUUGCUUUCGAAGAAGAAAUAAACAUAUUUAAAAUGCAAGGAUCCAAGUAAUUCAUUGCAUUUUCCUCAGAAGCUAUAUGUAAAUAUCUAUGUUACUAGACCAGGAUUUUGAAACUGCAGGGAGCAUACAUUGUACAUACAUUUUAACACUUCCUACUUUACAUAAGCAGGACCUUAUUAUGGAGAUAAACAAUUUUUUUCUCUUACACACGGGAGAUGGGGGGGGGGGGGGGGGUUCAACAAACAUAGGCAGAUCAUGAGCAGCAGGGCUGAGAUUUUAUUACCUUCUGCAUGAGGAAGCCAGCAACAGCAGGCUUCAAAAACUUAGUAACUCCUUCUGUUGAAGCAUGAGCUCUGUGUGCCGUGCCAAAAGCGUCAUUUACAUAAAGGUCAGCAGCAGAUGCAAGCUUCUUAGCAAACUCAGGGUCAUUCUUUUCUUCCUCCUUGUAGAAUCUAACAUUCUCAAGGAGCAGAACUCCACCUUCCGGCAAAGCAGCAGCCAAUUUCUCAACUUCCUCACCAAUGCAAUCAUUGGCCAUCACAACCUAUUUAUGCAGAAACACGAGCAGCAAUUAGUUAGUUCAGAGACAUCAGAAAACACAAUAAUGACCCAAUGUCAGAUCACAGCAUACGUCGACUCCAAGGAGCUCAGACAAGCGUGGAACAAGAGGCUUCAAGCUGUACUUCGGGGUGACACCUUUUGGACGACCCUGGAAAUAACAGCAGCAAAUUACAUCAGAAAAAGAAAAGGCACAAAUCAUGCUUCUUGCUAAACAUAAAUGCUUGCUGCCAUGUUACUAAUCAUAAGAAACAUCACAAUCACAAAGAUUGUUUAAUGAGGGCAUGGCAGCAUGCUAAUUUCAAUCAAGUUCAAAUAAGCAACUAUGGGAAUUAGUUAAAAGAAAAACAAUUCCUUAACCUAAACUGUAAUUGUUUAAGUUUUUGUGUUCCUAAAAUCAAUGCAUUCUGCUGGAAAUUAUAAUAAUAGUUCAAACUGCAAAGGAUACAAGAUCACUGGUAAAUAUCUUGUUGCGCAUCUAGUAUCAGGUGCCAAAUAUACUAUCAUUCUGUCUGAUAAACGAAAUGUUGUCCCCCCCCCCUCGCAUCUCAAUGAAUGGAAUGAUGUUUGCAGCAGAAGAAAAAAUUGAAAGAAACAAUUAACGAUAACCCUGCUUGUGCGAAUCAGAAACAGCUCAUAGAUUGUGUAAAUGGGUUAGGUUCCAACUAACUAGAACACAAAAGGCACAUUUUGGUUCUAAACCAACAUUCAACAAUCUACAAUAGAAAAAUGAACUUGCAUUAGCUGAAAGCAACAGCAGCUGAAAGCAACAGCGAUGAAUAACACCCCAUGUAUUUGACAAGGAAUAAACAAUCCACUUAAACAAUCUAGAGAGGUCAACACUCCAUAUCCAUGAUGUUAAUUCUUAAAUGCAGAUUUAUUGAGAAAUCGAAAUGGUGGCACUAGAAUCCGUGUUGAACCAUGCUGAUCAUUUUCCUUAAAUAUAAAGGCAUACUGGUAGUAGAACUGCUAGCUAGAUUAUAUCCCGGAUAGUGGCCAAGCACAAGCUCAGAAAACAACACUAAAGAAAUAAUGCCAAUAUACUCAGCACUGUUUGCAUGCUCGUUCAUGGCAUUUAACUGCAACAGUAACAACCGUUUUAACAGUAAAUGAACUACAGCAAGGGCAGUCGAUCAGAGAUUCAGAGUUGCAGGCAUGCAGCGCUGCGGGCCAACAUAAACUACAGAUCUCAAACUAAAACUGGGCCGCCUUCGCCGCAAGAUCAUAGCACACCCAUACCUACGCAGAGCCGCCAAAUUAAUCCCACCUAUACUGCCAUAAACGUAAGCACAGCACUUUUGCGUCACAACCGUGAUUUAAAUCCCAAAUUGACUAGAGCCAGAGUCAAAUCUCGGCACUGUGAUCACGCAGAACCCCAUCCCAUCCACUCAAUCCUCCACGGCCCAGCAUCUUGGCUUAAAUGCAAAUCAAGCUUUGAGUUAACAGUACGUGAUGGAGAUGUGGGCCGCGUCAGCAUACUCACCAGGUGGCUGGCGAGGAUGACCUUGGCGCCCUUCUCGAGGAGGAACUUGACGGUGGGGACGGAUGCGCGGAUGCGGGUGUCGUCGGUGAUCUUCUGGGCGUCGUCGAGCGGCACGUUGAGGUCGGCGCGCACGAACACCUUCUUCCCCCUCAGAUCCGCCUCCCCGAGGGUGCCCACGCUCCUCUUGGUCGCCAUCACUCCCUGCAACGCCGCGAGGAUCAAACCCGAGCUCGGAGCCCGACGGCGACGGAUCCGGGGCGCAGCAACACGACCGGCGGGGAAGACUCACCGUGGAUUGGAAGAACCGGAUCGAGGCGAAGGAUAACGCGACGAUGAGAUCGGUGGUGGUGAUGUGAGCUUUGGAUGUGCCAAUCGGAUGGGGGU
rnacentral:lncRNA from 1 species